AUGCAUUGGAAGGUCAAGUCUUAACCAUUGGACAGCUGGGGAAGUCCCAGAUUUUCCCAUCCUUGACCUUGAAGAUGGUUCUUUCUAAUCUAUUUCUUUCCUUUUAGGUGGAUCUGUUAGUAGUCUACUGAGGACAGGCCUAUGGAAAUGGAAGCACGACUAGGAGCCUGGGGUGGGGGGAGGAGUAGAUGAAGAGGAGGGAGGUAAGUGGCGCAGAGAAGUUCUUAAUUUUGUCACAAGCAUCUCUUGUAUUGUGUAGCCGUGUGUCCACUGUCUGACAACAACUUGCGAAAACCAUUGCCAUUGUAAGUUGGAGGUCUGUGACUGAAGAGAGCUGCUCAGACCCCAGUUUCUCCUUUAGCCGCCAGACCCAAAGGAUUAUUACUAUUGGCACAUUUGAUGAGCAUUAGAAUAAUUCCAUCUCCUUGUUAGCAUCGAUGGCAGUGCCUGACUCAUAAGAGGUACGGGGUGAAUAUUUGUUGAAUUCUCACUCAAUAGACUUUGGGAUUGUAUUUUCAUUGAAGCCUUUCUGGGUUAGUCACCACAAAGGGUGGUGAGGUGAUUACAGCUGGACUUGCCUUUGUGUUCCACUCAUCCUGCAAGGGUUGACUUUGCCUAUUGUUUUAGGUCACAUUUCUUUCACCAUGGAUUCUUCCAAUGUGAGUGCAAAAUUGGAAUGACAGUAUGGGGAGGCUUAGUAACAUCUGUCUGUCCCAGAGGAAGCGAGGUGGCUGCCAAACCAUUGUUUGGAAGAAUCAAGGGAAUGGCUCAAGGUCAGAGUGGAAGAGAACCAACUUCUGCCAACAAGGAAGAAGCAAUGACUAGGAGAUGGAGGACCUACAGUGGUCUGUGACCCACCUGUGACCUGGCACAGGAAGUUCUGACCAACCAAGAUAAUGGGAUUGAACCUGUAUCCCCUGCAUUGGAGAGCAUGGAGUCUUAACCAGUGGACCACCAGGCAAGUCCCAGGAGCUGUAACUUUUGGUAAAGAAACACAACUACCAGUAACAUGUUGACUUGACAAGGAAGGAGCUGGAGGAAUAAAUACCCCAACCUGUGUCUUUUUUUUUUUUGGUUAUUUGCUUCCCAAACCACUUCUCAGUGCCUCCCACUAGUCAAACCCAACCAGAACCUGGAGAGCAAAAUUGGUCCAUUCAGGUCGGCCUGCCUGGUCACAGAGCCAGGUGAGGAAAGAAGGAGAAUAGACUCGGAGCAAAUGAAAACUGUCCAGUGCAGUGAUGGAAGUGUCAAGAUAAUUCAGAACCCAGCACUGUUGAGAACACUCUCACUUCCUUGUGGUUGUGCUUUGCUACUGCUUGGGGGUUCCCAUAGGGUUUUUCACCCUUGUUUUCACAAGAAGCCAUGGAAUAUGAAGCAAUGCAUGAAGACACCUGGGUGAGUCUCUUGCAAUCAAAAGAGCCUAGAAACAUAAAAGUGUUAAUGCAUUUCCUCCAUGGUGGAAAUGGGAGAGCCUGGAACCAAAGCCACCAGAAUCUGGGUCUAAAUUCAAGCUCUUUCCGUUUCACAAAAGUGGCUGUACAAGUGUGAUAGCGGCCCCCUGAAAUCAUGUAGAAGCUAUGAAUGUCAAGUUAUUUUGUGGGAAGCCACUGGGACAGAUCUUAGAAUGUGGUGGUUAAAUGUGUAAAAAGAUGCCUUGGGAAGGUCCCACUCAUGGAAUACAGAUCAGGUAAGAGCAGGGAGAGAUGGAAAGCAGAUGUUUAACUUUGCAAUAAUGAUAAGGUUCUUGAGUGUGUACACUCAAGUGUGGCGGUGUGUACAUACAGGGUGACAGAAUUGUUCACUUGCUAUGUGCAAGGCACUGCUCCAGGGUCCAAAGACGUAGCAGAGAAGCUAACAAACUCCUGCCCUCCUGGAGUUUCUGGUCAUUGGAGCUGUGAGAGUAGAUAAUCUUUCCAAGGGAGAAGCAAAUAGUGAGGCUUAGAUAUGCCUGUGAGGAAGAGGGUGAAACAAAGAUAAGAAAAGAAUCAGUGGAGUAGUAAGCAGAGGGCCAGGGGGGCAACUGGCUUGGUAACAUGGUGGGCAAGCCAAGAGCAAGAAGGAGGUCCACAGGGCUGACUGCUGGGGCUUGUUGCUUAGGACAAGACCAAGCAGAGGCUGCCGGCAUUGACAAAUGGUGGAAGCUGGGUCAGAGCAAGUCAAUGAGGUGGGUGGAAACUAGAUUGUGGGAGGUUAUGGAGGCACCAUUACAGUUAAGACUUACAACAGAAGUGCUGUGUAAGGAGGAGAAUUGGAUGCCUGAGUGGAAUGAAUUGGGAGAUUGGGAUUGGGAUGUAUACAAGAAUCUGCCUGCCAAUGCAAGAGACAC